GGGCGCUUAGCUCAGUUGGUAGAGCAUCGCCUUUACACGGCGAGUGUCGCAGGUUCGAGCCCUGCAGCGCUCA
rnacentral:tRNA from 1 species